rnacentral:rRNA from 5 species
UGACUGGGGUGAAGUCGUAACAAGGUAACCGUAGGGGAACCUGCGGUUGGAUCACCUCCUUACCUUAAAGAA